UUUAAGUGUAGUUGUGAGUUUUUAUAUCUAACGUUUGACUGCUCGUUUUAUUUAUAUUUUUUAUGAGUAGUACUUUUAUUGUUAUUAGAUGAUAAAACAUGAGCAGCACUAUACGUGUAACUUAUUUUCUUAAUUUUUUUAAUAUUAUUUUAAAUAAGACAGGCAAUUAAACAUUGGAUAUAAACUUAUAACUGUAUUUAAA
rfam:Oryza sativa (indica cultivar-group) chromosome 1, whole genome shotgun sequence.